rnacentral:rRNA from 1 species
AAACCGUUCGGGGGGAAACGGACAGAGCUCGUGAAUCCGGGCGACGGAAUUCAGAAUUUGUGGCGUUUACGCGCCGCAGGCUCGAUAUUUCCGUCGCCGUCAUUUCGGACGUCGCGACCCGUUUGGUGUCGGCCUGAGGAGACGUGCGAAAGUUCGUCGACGCGUCGGACUCGUUUCGGCGCGUCGACGAGUGCGCGUUUUAUUCGCUGACUGACUCGCCAGACGGUAUGCAACGGUGGUCGCGGCGGCCUUUGCGCCGCCGUCGAUGCCGGUCUGCGACGAAUCUUCGAGUCUCUUUCCGA